GCACCUCGGAGGCGCGGGGCUUCGGGCGGGAGGCGGCGCCCGAGGCCCAGGGCCGGCACAGCAGCAGCCGGAGCGCAGCCUCGUGGGCCCUCCGCAGGGGUUCCAUGGCCGGACUCGCCCGCGUCCCCGCCCCCCGCCCCUCUGCCGCCAUGGGGCGCGCGCCGCUGGGGGCGGAGCCGUCAGAGCGGGCGCGCGCCCGCGCCCCGGGGCGAGCGGCGGGGACGCCCAGUGGGCGCCGCGCGAGUGCACGAGAGCCCCCCCGGGGCGCGGUGGCGCGUGCGCACGAAGGUCUUGCGGCCUCCCGCGGAAGGAGCGGAGGGUGCUUGACGGGCGGGCCCAGUGACCGGCGCUGGGAGUAAGGGUCAGCGGCGCAGAGGAGGUUUUAUUAUUUUAAGUAAUCUUCGUAGCCAACGUGGGGCUCAAGCUCACGAUCCUGAGAUCAAGAGUCACUCCACCAACUGAGCCAACCAGGUGCCCUUAGUUCCAGUUCUUAAUGACCAUGAAACAAAGGGGCUUGGAAGUUGGCACUCAAAAACGGCUGGCUCCAGAAGACCUGAAGCUCCCACAAAGUCAGGAAGGUAUGGAAUAUUUGAACAGAGCCUCACUCGUCCACCCACAUACCUGCUGGUGACGAUAGAUGCCAUACACUGCAGGAGGGACUGGCACAUUGAUGCUGUCAAAGACCAGUUUACUUCCAGACUUGCUGCUGUAGAGAUGAGCCAGUUCAGGCUCUGGACCCAGGAUGGGGAUGCCUAACAUAUCCGCCACGGCCAAAUCAUCUCUGUGGAGGAACCCGCCGACAAUGUAGGCCUCUUUUCCUUGGAUGAGAUUUUUUAUUCUUUUGAUCGCCUUGGGACUGUACAUCAGAUGCAAACCCACAAAGAAGCAAACCCACACUACGAAUGUGACUCAACGCAUCGGUUAGUGCCAACUGCCUAUCUCUUGCUUAGAAACUGAAGAGUGGUCUGCAGUGCAUAUGUCUCAGGUAACAACAGGAUUGCAGAUCUGGGAAGGGCUUUGAAAUGCCCUAGCCAUCACCUGAUUGUAUGGACGAAGCUCAGAGGACCAGAAAGGUAAAGGGAGCUGCCCAAGCCACAGGGUCAUCUAGGAGCAAAGCAAUCAUUCCAGUUCCUGAUACUGUUCUGGGCUCAGACACAUUUUGGCUCACACUUUGAGCCCACCAGUAACUUUGGACCAGAACAGGAGACUUGGUUUCCUCAGCCAUAGAAAGAGAUUGGUCAUUUCUGUCAUGUUGCAUUGUUCUGAGGACCAAAUGAGAAAAUGUGUGCUAAGCAUUUGAUAAAUAUUAGUUGUGCACUCACUUUCCUUCUCCCAAACUAGUGCUCCUUUCCUAGUCCAUGCCCCUUCGAUGUAUGUGGACAUUUCAGAUGUACAGAAACUCCUUAUCAGCAGCUACCAGGCAUUAGCUCCAGUUUCUGGCUGGAUAAAAUCAGGAAAUGAACUACACACUAACGAUGGUUUUGUCUUCCCUGCUUUCUAAUGUCCACAGUGACCCUGCCAUUGAGGCCAGGGGUUAGCUAGCAAGCACCAAACAAUCCUUGCACUGAUGGAGGAUAUUGGGUUCCUAAUAGCAUAGGAUCUUCUUCACUCGGGUCUUAUGGCAAUGUAAGAGCCACGCGAUGGCAAUCACACCUGAAGCCCACUUCUGCUGGCGAUAAAUGAAGAAAAUUUGUCUCGCUUUGAAGCAUUUCCAUGUGGCUUGGAUCUUGAUGGCAGCCUCUGACUUUCCAUCUUGGCCCUUGUACCUUUGGCCCGGAAGAUUUAACAUCAUUUGGAUGUGAACUGGGUUCUCUACCAGUGAGAGAAAGUCAUAUCUGAGACUCAUGUGGAAUUGGGACCAUCGAUGAAAAUGGAGCAACCUUGGGAGAAGAUUCUGAAAGAAGAGGGCUCCAGUCUCUCUCAGGCAGUGCCUGCAAAUGGUGUAGGUGUGGGGCGUGUAUGUAUGUCAGCAAAUGAGUUUCAGACCUUUUGAAAGAAUAGCCCUGGUUUGGGAAUGGGGUUACAGAAUUGAACAGUGGCUGUUUGAGAACAAAGGGAUUAUACCUCCCUACCUUCUUGGAUGAUAUUCCAGUAAAGACCUGUUCUCCAAGGAAACACACUCUUGGACAUCAAAUAGACCACUCAGGCACGGGGAAGCUAUGGGUUUGGAGUCAGCUAAAGCAUAACUGUAGUACAUCUGUCACAGAGAAUGCCACACUUGGGAGCACUUCACACUUAGAGCUGGAAAAGACAUGUCUCUCAAGAGGAAGGCUUCCCAAAUUAAAGCAGUGCAUCAGCAUUGUGGGAUCCAUUGAGCAGGUAAAGACAAAGCUGCUUCACAGCCUGCUAGGAAUAAGAGCCCUGAUUAAAGGUCAUGCCAGCCUUCAGAUUCCGGUUUCUUCUGCUAUUUUUCCUUUACUAUUUAUCUCCAUGAACCCGUCUGCAAUUAUCUGUCGCCGACCUUCUUUCUCUCCGCCUACCUUCCUUCUUUCUAUUCCUUCCUCCUUUUCUUUCCUUCCUCCCACUCUCCCUCCCUUUCUCCCUCCCUUUCUCCCUUUCUCCCUUUUUUUUUUUUUGUUUUUUUGUUUUUAAGAUAUGCUGUACUCCCAACAUGAUGUUGCUGAAUAGCAAUAUUGUUUUCCUUCUAGUGGAGAUGGCUCUCUGUCAUGCCAUCCGCAUGCUCUCCUGGUCCUUCCUGAGCUCCUGGCCACACCUUCACCAGGGCCCAAACCUGUGGCAUUGUUUAGCAUCCUGCUCUAACUAACUGAAUCGACUAGCUGGGAAAUGCUCUUCAUCAUCUGCAAAGUGUUACUACUAAUUAGGUAAUUUUGACAGUUUCUGGAGCAGUAAUUUAGGAAGAACUCUGAAUUUAAAACAAACGAACGAACAAACAAACAAAACCCAGGAAGGCAAGACGAUGAUUACAUAUGCAGGUAAGCUAUAAGUGGGAAGCAAAAAAGAUAGGCCCAGUAUUACCUCCUAAAUUUUAGAAAUAACUGCCACAAUGAAAAACUCUAGGAAAAAAAGGCAUGUACUUCUAAGAUGAAUGUCUUUAUGAAAAAUGUUCUUUUCACACAUGUGGAUAGCAUGUGGAUGCAGGAUUAAACCAUAUCUGAGGAUCCCUAAAUUAGAUAUAACCAAGAUCUCCUGGUGGUAAAUGGUCAAGUAUAUGGGAUAAUCCAAUAUGGAUAUCAUCUUUAGGGAAGGAUUUGCCUAGAAGGACAGACUAAAAUUGCUUUUGAAUCCAUAAACUGAUGUUCAGUUUCUCCAAAACUCAAACAUAUCCAUGAUUAAUUAGCUUUGGCAGCGCUGUUGUGUGAAAAAGAAUAAAUUCUUCCUGCCAUUAGGGCUCUAUGUGAGUGCUUACAUUCAGAGUAUGAGUGAAGUGACUCUCAGAGAUGGAACUUUCAUUCUUUCCUGAAAACCAGGGAGGCCAUCGGUCUGGCCUGUUCUUUAAUAACUGUUAACAGUCUGUAAUGUGUUAAGCUUUGUACAAAACAGAUAUCAGUACCUCAGAUUGUCAGCACUAUUUGAAAGAUAUAAAUAAUAUUCAGAGAGAGUAGCUGACCUAAUCAGGAUUUAGGGAUUCAGCAUAAUUACAGUCCUGAAUUUUAGAGCAUGAAGGCCUUGCCUUUUUUGUUUGUUUGUUUGUUUGUUUGUUUGUUUGUUUGUUUUACUCAAUAGGCUAUUAUGGGCUCGGAGAAACGAGCCUUGGCCCUACAGUCUGACUCACCUAGGUUCGAGUCCAAGCUCUGCCGCUGUCUGCUACACAUUCCUGGGCAAGUUACCAUCUGCUAUGGGUUGAAUGUUUGUGUCUCCAUAACAUUUGUAUGUUUAAGCCCAGUUCUUGGUGUGAUGGUGUUUGGAGGCAGGGCCUCUAAGAAAUAAUUAGGUCAUGAAGGUGGAGGCUUCAUGAUGAGAUUAACGCCCUUAUAAGAAGAGAGACAAGAGAGAUGAUUUCUCUGCCAUGUGAAAAUAUAGGAAGAAGGUGGCUGUUUGCAGAGCAGGAAGAGGGCCCUCAACACAACCUAACCACACUGGCACCCUAAUCUUGCACUUCCAGCCUCCAGAACUUAGAGAAAUAAAUGUUUGUUGUGUAAGCCCCCCAGCUUAUGUCAUUUUGUUACGGUGGUCCAAGCUAAGACAACAUCCUCUCUGAAUUUCAAUGUUUCUCAUCUCUAAAAAUGAGAGAUCCCUGCAGAGUUGCUGUGAAGAUCAUAAUAUGUGUAAAGAGCCUUUCACAGUGUCUAACCUCCAGUCAUGUUUAGGUUAUUAGUGUGGAUGAGGAAACAGGCUCAGAGAGGUUAGGUGAUUUGCCCAAGAUCACAUAACUAGUCACCUUUCCCUUCCCCCAUACCAUCCAUGCCCAAAGCCCUAACUGUCCAGAACGUCGUGUAGGACCCCUUACCAAGCUGUGCUCUCCUUGUUCAACCUUCCUUUUACUACCUCCUUCAUCAGAGCUGACCUGGUCUGGACCUGCUAUUUCUUUCUUAUUUGGAAAGUGGCCUGUUCAACUAACCCCUAUGAACAUGCUAAUGAACCAUGGCAUGGAAGAAAAGUGAGGGAUUUGAAGUGAGAAGACAUAGGAUCUAGGCUGUUACCACGUUACUACACGGCCUUGGGAAGUCACCUCUCCUGUGGGCUGUUUCCAUUAGGGGAUCAUUCAAGGUGCUUCUGAUUUUGAUACCCUAAGUGUCUCUGACUUAAAGUGAUUUUGACACCUUAGGUCUCUCUGACCUAUUAAUUGGUAUGUGUUGUUUAAUAAACUCCUGGAGUUAGCAGAGCCAGCAAAUUGAAGAUAUAUCUUCAAUUGAGUCAUUUCAUGUACUAUAAGAAAGACCUAGGGAUUUUUUCCCCUCUAUUUUUUAAAUAGGAAGCUCUUUCUAGAAAUUUACAAACCAGUAGAGGAAGAGCUGUUUACACCAACUAUACGUACAGGUGGUCAUGGGGAGAGAACCCCAAAGAGUGAUAUUCCAGUAUUUCAGGGUCUGCAAAUCCCCCAAAACAGUGCUCAGUUCGUAAGACCUAGAAACUGCAUUUAAGCUAUAACUGUCAAUUAAAACUGAGAGUCAGAGUCCCUAAGCUUUAUAAAGAGGAUAAAAGGCAAAAACAGAGAAUUCACUGAGCAGAGACAUACAAAGGGAGAGAAUUGUGUGUAAAGGCCGCUCGGAUGAGUGGCAAUUUUCUAGGGCUAAUUUCUGCAAUCGCUUUGAAAGAUAUAUUUAUUCAAAUGAGUCUUCCUGAACUCUGAAACACUUUCUGAGGAGAAAAAAAAGGUUCCUGUGGAACAAAAACACUCAAUGGAUCAAAUUCUGGUUGAAGAUCAAACAGAACAAAAUCAGGAAGACUUUUUUAAAAUGGUGUAUAUGUCAAAUGUGAACUUUCGUUUUCUAGAGACCCAUCUCAUUUUACUGCUGCAUUGAUUUCAUUUUUUCUGCUACCUUUCUAAUAUUUUCUGAGAGCAUGUGACAUAGAUAAGGACCACUGAGGACAAUUAUGACUGAUGGUUGGAACCUGACAGGGAUAUGUACAGGGAACCUGGCAGAAGGGGAAUGGAAAGAAGCCUGGGUUCCUAUAUUCCUGAGAAAAGAACCAUCUUCAUCUUCUCUAUGGGUAAAGGAAUGAGUGAGCCUCCCAAAGGACCUGUGUUAUCACCAAAGUAAAGCUUGGCAUUAUAGUUUUCUUGAGAAAAAUGUGUACAUAGCAAGUCUGGUGAUCCCAGAUGGCUAAAAGAUACUUGCAAAAUUCUUGUAACCCCCCACCUUUUCACAUUUGCUAAACCUACAUAUGUAUUCCACUUUAUUUUCAUUCCUAGCACUCAUCACUGCCUGACAUUAUAUUAAAUAUCUGCCUUCCUCACCAGAAUAUAAGUCCCAAGAGGGCAAAGACUUGGUUUGUUUUGUUCACUGCUGUAUCCCCAGUGCCUAGUACACUUCCUGGCACAUGGUAAAAGGUGAACAAAGAUUAGUGGAAGGAAGGAAGGAAGGAAGGAAGGAAGGAAGGAAGGAAGGAAGGAAGGAAGGAGUGAAUAGUACAAUUUAAAUUCAUAGCCACUUGGGCUGGAUUUACAGCACAAAACUGUUCUGUGAUCAUACAAGUUAUUUGCAAACUCACAGCUUGAGUUUUGAAACACCAGCAGACCACUUGGAUCUGAAAAUGUCCGUACCCUUGACCAAGAAACGGUCAAGUAGCUUAUGGGUGGCCUGGGUGGCUUAGCUGGUUAAGUGUUCAACUCUUGAUUUUGGCUCAGGUCAUGAUGUCAGGGCCAUGAGACUGAGCCCCAUGUUGGGCUCUAUGCUAUGUGUGGAGCCUGCUUAAGAUUCUGUCUCUCCCUCUCCCUCUACCCUUCCCACUCACGUGCUCUCACUUUCUCUUUCUCUAAAAAAAAGUAGCUUAAAUAGUACAAAGAUUUAUGUAGAAAUAUGAAAAAUGUUCAUGGCAGUUUGAUUUAUAACAGGAAAUUAUUUAAUUGCUUAUUGCUCAUUAAUAACAAAUAAUUAUUAUAAUUAAAAUAAUUAUAAUAUAAUUAAUUAUUAUAUUAAUGAUUAUUAUAAUAUAAAAUACAUAUAUAAAAUAAUAUAUUUUUAUAUAAUAUAUAAAUAAAAUAUAAAAUAAUUAUGAUUAUAAUAUAAUUAUAAUCAUUAUAAUAAUAAUAUAAAUAAUGACAUUUAUAAUUUAAUAUCUAACAAUAGGAUAAUAGCUAAGAAAAUUAUGGUAUAUCUUUAAGACAGAAUAUUAUGUAGCCAUUAAAAAUAUUUUAUAAAGACUUUUAAGUCAUAUGUAUAAAAGUUUAUGAUAAAUUGUUGGGAGAAAAGAGAUAGAUCACAGUUGAAUACACUGUAUGAUACCAAUAGUGGGCCAAGCCAAAAAUGUAAAUAAUGCCAAAGGGUUAUGGUAUUACAGGAAAUUUUUUUUUUGGAUACUUUGGCAUUUUUUCCCUCCUUUCUGAACUUCCCAAAUUUUCUGUGAAUGAUCAGAUCACACUCUCAUGAAUGAAAAAGAUAAAGUAAAAAAAUUAAGAUUAUUUUGUGGCUUACUGAUAACCUAACAUUUUUUUCUGGUUUAUAUAAGUAAAAUUGCUAGUCACAUGCAAUAGCAAUGUAUAUUUAGGUGAUGUCAUGAAGAGAGGUAAAGACAAUUUGUCAUUUACUUCUUGCAAGAAAAAAAUUGUUUUGCACAUAAAGCUGUAUAAUUUUAAUUCACUUUGAAAGUUUCAUGCCAAAAAUGCAUUAAGUGAGGGUGGCAGUUUCUAAUGAAUCAGACAAAGUGGAAAUUGUUUUAAAAGAUGCUACAGUUUUUGUUUCUGUUUUUGUAAUCUUCUUCCUUUCCUUCCUUGAAGAAUGUAAAUUAAAUGAGGUUUCAGGAGGGAAAGUGAAUCUAAAAGAAGAAAGAACAGUUCUAGACUUCCUUCUGAAUCUCAUCUUGUAUCUCCAGGCUACAGGGCUCUCUAAUUCUUGCCAAAGUAUGACCUGCCCUCUCUUUAACCCUUUAGGGCAAGACAAGAAAGGAGACAGGUUUGUGCUGGGCACAAAACCCACCAGGGAGGCACGCUGCACUCUUCAAGAAGUAGGCUUAUUUGGGGGAGCCUGGGUGGCUCAGUCACUUAAGCAUCCAACUUCCGCUCAGGACAUGAUCUCACAGUCGGUAAGUUCAGGCCCUGUGUCGGCUUCUGUGCUGACAGCUCAGAGCCUGGGUCCUGCUUCAGAUUCUGUGUGUGUGUGUCUCUCUCUCUCCUGCCCCUCCCCUGCUCAUGCUCUGUCUCUCUCUCUCUCUCUCAAAAACUAAAUUAAAAAACAUUAAAAAUUUUAAAUAAAAAAAAGAAGUAGGCGUAUUUGGAAAAAUGUCUAUUCAUGUCCUCUGCCAGUUUUUAAUUGGAUUAUUUGUGUUUUUGGGGGUGUUGAGUUGUAUAAGUUCUUUAUAUAUUUUGCAUAUUAACCCCUUAUUGGAUAUAUCAUUUGCAAAUAUUUUAUCCCAUUCAAUAGGUUGCCUUUUUUGUUUUGUUGAUGGUUUCCUUUGCCGUGCAGAAGCUUUUUAUUUUCUUGUAGUCACAAUAGUUUAAUUUUGUUUUUGUUCCCCUUGCCAGAGGAGACCUAUAUCUAGAAAAAUGUUUCCACAGCCAGUGUCAAAUAAAUUACUACCUAUGUUUUCUUCUAGAAGACAUCCAGAUAGCCAGCAGACAUAUGAAAAGAUGCUCAGCAUCACUAAUUAUCAGGGAAAUGCAAAUCAAAACCACAAUGAGGUAUCACUUCACACCUGUCAGAAUGACUAAGAUUAAAAAAAAAAAAACAUAAGAAAUAACAGUGUUGGCAAGGAUGUGGAGAAAAAGGAACCCUCUUGCACUGUUGGUGGGAAUGCAAAUUGGUAGAGCCACUGUGGAAAACGGUAUGGAAUUUCCUCAAAAAUAUUAAAAAUAGAAUUACCAUAUGAUACUGUGUAUUCACCCAAAGAAGUGAAUGGAAUAUUCAUACACACAACGGAAUAUUCAUAGUCACACACAAUGGAAUAUUACUUAACCAUAAGAAAGAAUCUUGCCAUUUGCAAUGAUGUGUACAGAUCUAGAGGGUGUAAUGUCAAACAGAGAAAGACAAAUACCAUAUAAUUUCACUCAUAUAUGCAAUUUAAGAAACAAAUGAACAAACGAAGAAAAGAGACAAAAAACCCCACCAGACUCUUAAAUAUAGAGAACUGAUGGUUAUUAGAGGGGAGGUUUGUAGGGGGAUGGGUGAAAUAGAUGAAGGGGAUUAAAAGUACCCAUGUGAUGAGCACUGGGUAAUGGAUACAAUGGUUGAAUCACUAUAUUGUAUGCCUGAAACUAACUUAACACUGUAUGUUAAUUACACUUCAAUAAAAAUAAAAAAAGAAGUAGGCUUAUUUCUUUUAGUAGAUAGGGCACAUUAAACCUAAAGCUGCUCCUAGAUACCCCCCCCCCCCCCCCCCCCGGUUUUCAGAGUAUGUAUUUUUAAACUUGAAACACUUUGUUCAGAAACCAUAUAAUCUGAUGCUAAACAGGUACACACUUAACACAGCUGCUGUGGUGUGCGAGGCCUAGAGCCCCACCUAUUGGGCACUUCGGCCUCUCUCCUUUUCCUGGGGGUCUUGGAUUGAGUGUUAUGGGGAUAUGGAAGUUCUGUAGAAAAUGGAUCUGGUCUAAUCCCUUCCUUAUACAGAUGGGGGAAGUGAGACUAGAUGGGGUGGUGUCACUGUAACACAUGUUGCCUGAUUAAAAUAGUUCAGCUGACUCACCUGUAAAAUAAUCACAAUUUUUUAACAUAAGGAUCAAGGGCAUAUGUUGGAGAGAUACUAAAGAGAGUAAUAAUAUAACAACAGGACCCCAAAAUUGACAUUAAAAGGUUAUCCCCCAAACCUAUUCUUUCUAUAUCAAAGGUGAUUUUACAGCAGAGGUAUGACUUAUGGAAUAGGAUUUUCUUUUCUUUUUUCUUCUUUAAUUUGGAAAAAGUUUUGAAAAUACAGAAAAGUACAGAGAAUAAAAUAAAAAACUACCAUGGGCAGUUGUUAAUCUUUUGUCUUCUUUGCUUUGUGUAUAACAUAUACUGUUAUCUAUCUAUCCAUGGCUCAUAAACAAGAAAGCAAGCUACAAAAGUCCAGUAGUUUAAACUGGGGGAAUCUCCAUGAGGAUGAUUUAGAUAACAUUAGAUAAUACAGAAUACAUAUAAUAUAUAUGAUAUAUAUAUGUAUGUAUAUAUAUAUGAAACAAAGAAGACAAGAAUAUAUAUAAACAUUGUAUAUUUUAAAAGAGUAUAUUUUAUUUUAUUUAUUUUAUUUAUUUUUUUAAUUUUUUAACGUUUAUUUAUUUUUGAGACGGAGAGAGACACAGCAUGAACGGGGGAGGGGCAGAGAGAGAGGGAAACACAGAAUCGGAAGCAGGCUCCAGGCUCUGAGCCAUCAGCCCAGAGCCCGACGCGGGGCUCGAACCCGCUGACCGCGAGAUCGUGACCUGAGCCGAAGUUGGACGCUCAACCGACAGAGCCACCCAGGCGCCCCAAAAGAGUAUAUUUUAAAUAUUUAUAAUUAUUAUUAUAAAAUUCAGAUAUGCUUAAAUUGUUUAUAUAUUUAUAUACAUGUGGAAAUUUAAAAAAUCAACACAUAAAGUACAGUUGAAAUCCUCUCUGUAUUCCUUUUUAGCUCAUUCCUCUCCUUUCCCCAUUUCCGGAAGCAAACACACUCAUGAAUUUAAUCUGGACCCUUGUGUCCAAUAAAUACAUUUGUUUGCUUCUUUUACCCACAAAGUAGAUUUUUUAUUAUCAAAAUAUUAGUUGAAAUUAAUUGGAUCUUAACAUAGCUGUUAGCAUGCCUGCCUUGAGAUAAUAAAUUGAUGUUUUGCUGAGAGAGGCAAUUUUAGCAACUUUAAGCGUUUAACUAGAUCCCUGAAAAUAAAGACCUCAGAUUUCUUGAAAUAACUACAAACUCUUCCACUGUUUAUUAUCUUCUUCCUUGGAUCCUUGUGCAGAGCCUGACUGACUCAAAUUUACCCUUCUACUUCUUGAGUGUUGGUUAUUUGGUUAAUGUUCUAGUAGACAGAAAAGGCUCUUAAGGUCACAGCCAAUGAAAGCAGACAUGACAGGCACCAUCCUGAGGGUGAAGGAAACAAACAAAAAAAUACACCAGAAAUGGGUUCUCUGCAUACAAGACACCGGGUAGAGAAAAAUGUUAGAUUACAUUAGGAAGGCGGAGAUAUAGUAUCGCUUAGAGAGAUUUCCAUAAAAAAUGAUUGAAAGUUUUAAAAAUGUCUAAUGCUUUGAGGCUCUGGAAGUCACAGAGUCCAGUUCUGCGUCCUGGCUCUGUCACUUACUAGUUGGAUGACCUUAACUUCUCUGUGUUCGGGUCCUUCCACUAAAAUGAGAAUAAUAGUACGUGCUGCAUAGAGUUGUUGUGAAAUGAAGUGAGCUAAUCCACGUCAAGCAUAGGAACAGUGCCCCCCACAGAGGUGGCACAUGACACAUGUAUGCUGCUAGUCAUACUAGUAGUGGUGGUGGUAGCGGUUGCAGUAGUGGUCGUUAGUAGCCGUAGUAGUUAUAGUCAUGGUAGUAGUAACAUUUGGAAAACUAGCCAUGUGGAAGAUCAUAACCUUGUGUGUGGGAGGGUACAGACUCCGGAACCUCACUGUGUCCUCUGGAUCCUCCACACAGUUGGUAAAAACCAAUUGGGUGGGCCUGGGGACAACGACACUACAGCAUAUUGGGUGGGUGUAGACGGUGCACAAUCAACUUUAGCUGUUAUGCAUAUUCCAGAUACAGAAUGCCUUAGUGUUCUUAAGGCACAUCCUAUUUUUAAAGUGUAGAGUCAAGCUCACAAUUUCCUCAUAGCAAGAAGUCAAGGGAAGCUGGAGGAAGGCUCUGAUUGCAUUGAUUAGUUUAUCCUAGAGCAAUUUGUCUAGGUUUCGGAAGGACUGUCUGCAAUCACUGCUGGAAAUACAGCUCUGACUAGUCACAGCUCUGCGGAAGUACAAGGAGAUCCAAAAGGUGGGCUCUUUUUCCUUGAAAAGGGGCGGCUAAGCUCCCUCUGAAAUUCUUUUUUGAUAAGAUCCCCAGAGGAAGGGAGGCCUAGAAGAUAUCCUUAAAAAUAGACCAGUGGGGGUGCUUGGGUGGCUCAGUCAGUUAAUUGUCCAACUCUUGAUUUUGGCUUAGGUCAUGAUCUCAUGGUUUGUGAAAUCCAGCCCCACAUCUGGCUCUAUGCCAACAGGGCAGGGCCUGCUUGGGAUUCUCUCUCUCCCUCUCUUUCUGCCCGUUCUCCACUCGUGCUCAAUUUCUCGAAAUAAAUAAAUAAACUUAAAAAAAAAUAGACCAGUGAAUUCUGAUAACAAGUGCUUUACAGUUCGAAAGCAUUUCUGCACAUAUUAACAGUACCAACCUUCAUAAGAAACCUAUGAGAAAGGAGCUAUCAUCCCCCCCUUGUCAGAGGAAGAGGUGAGGCACUGAAAAUUUCAGUGACUUGCUCAAAAUUCCUAUAUUAGGAGGAGAAUCCAGCUCUUUCCUGCUUCUAGUUCAGAACUUUUAUUACUCAUACAGGCUCUGGUGGAAUGUUCCUUGCUGGCACGUACUUGUCUUUGUGGGAACAAUUUCAUUCCUCCAACUUCUUUGUUACCUUAUUAGUUUUAGGCAGCUUAAUUCUAAAUCCCAUACCCUUAGCAGUUAUGUUCAUAGGCAGUCUGUGUGUGCAUGUGUACGUGUGUAUGAAUGCACACGUACUCACCCAUGCACACACACAAGUGCAUGCUGGGGGGGGCGCAAGUGAAUUUUUUUCAUUUUGUAUUUCUUUUUAGUGUACUUUUAAAAGAUGAGAAUCUCAGAUUGAAGUUGAAGACCAUUGUGAUUCAGCCAGAUUUUGAGUAUGCUAAAUCACUUUUCUGGAUUGAAACCUGAGAAGUAAUUCAGUCCAAACUGAAAGGGAGUGAUUUUUCACAUUAAAUGAACCUUUUUUUUUUUCCUUUUCUGAAAACAUGAUCUAAUGUCUUUUAUAAAAGAAGAGCCAAAGAACUUCUGUUGCAGUCUCCAGCUGUCAAACCUGCCUCCCAUACUUUUGCCCUGCAGCAAAAGGCAGGGACAUCAGGUGACAAACCCCAAAUUUCAACUAGUCACACAAAUUACAGACCUUCCUAUCAUGAUGUCCUCUUGACCUUUUGCCUUUCCCCUACAAUGAAGAAUGAGACACAGUUUAAAUCAAAAUGACUCUCAUGGGCAAUUUUACAAAACAAAUAGAAGCACAGAGCCUCCCCCCCACCCCCUCCCCCCCAGUUCCCCCCGCUGGGCCAGCCUGUUCCCUCUCUCCAUGCAGGCAGGAGCUAAUAAUUAGAAAGACCUUUCCCACCCCAGACAAUGCUGCUCUGCUUGCCAAGAGCCCUGUUUGACUUGAAGAAAGAGUUUGACAAAGUAAAUAUUUACAAAAACAGCUAGAGUCAGAUGCCAAGUCCCGCUUCUGGGGAACACUUAAAGAAGUAUUUACAAGAAAAGGCUUCUCCGUGGGGCACUGCACUGCCCGGUGGGGAUGCUGAUUCAAGGUCCAUUCUGGCUCUAUCAGUGUUUCUGUUAGCCUUUUCCAUGCCAGGACGCUUUUCACAGAGUAUAUGAAUAAUUACAUUUACCAUUGAAGACUCAACUCAGAAAUGUACCAAUUCGGGACCACAGGAAAGAGUCUUUAAAUGUUACUGCUCCAGCACUAGGGAGAAAGCUUUGUGAAGUCAACAGAGAGGAAAUUAAAAGGCAGGGCUAAUUAGCACUGGGAAAACGUCAUUAUUAAAAAAAAAAAAAAAAAUUUUUUUUUUUUUUGGAGAUAGAUCGAUUACCGCACGAGACCUGGUCAUGUUUGUAUUACCUGUAGAUCUGUUGUCUAUAACACUGUGGGACUUGAGAGCUCAAACAUGGUGAGAAUCAAAACAGGUGCCCCCGCCUAUUCCCAUUAUGCACAUUAGCCCGUGGCCUGUGCACAGCCUGUUAAACAGCUGAAUUUGAAACAAUCAUGGUGCAGGCCAAACAUUAGCCCGAAGGCCUGUCUGUCUAGGGAUUUGGCCAUUUACAUUGAUUGUUUUUUUUUUACCCACAUUUUUCAUGAAACACAAAUAUUUGCCAUGGCAACUGGGGUGUCACAUGACAUGCUGGUACAUAAACAGCUUGGAACUCUCUUAAGGGGGCACAGCCCACCAGUGCUGCAAAUCCAGGGAAAACAUCUUGAGGAAGAUUUGGGCGUUAAGAUGAAGGUCUGGGAAGAGCAGGUAACAGUCUAUGUAGACACAGUAGGAUUCAUUUCUUCUCUGCCACUCUUCCUUCUCUCUUUCUUCCUUCUUUUUUUUUUCUAAUGGGAGCAGCUGUAAAUAUGACCACAUAGGGUAAGCCCAGAAAAAGACACUGCCAGCUGUCUCCUUUUUCUGGUGAAAAGUUUCAAUUAUCACAACUCUGUGGCUCAUAAACAUAAGAAAGCAAGCUUCAAAAGUCCAGCACCUUUAAACACAGAGAACCUCCAUGAGGAUUAAUUAUGUUGUACUGUGAGCUCCUAAUGUCAGAGAAUACAGAAUUUCUUCUCUUUCCUCAUUAGGAUAUCUGGACAAAACUGGAGAGCUUGCUUUUUAUCCUGUGCUUAAAGACAAAUGAAGUCGGGUAAAACCUCAUAAUAACAUACCCUAUGCAAUGUGAAUUUGGAUACAAAGCAAUAGCUAUUGUAUUCCAGACUCCUGGACCAGCUAGCGAUAUAGGUUGGCCCAGUCAUUUAGUUAAUGUGACAAUAAUGUGACAUGCUUGAAUUUUUUAAGACCCCACUGAUAAUGUAAUGCUAGAGUUUACUUAUACAGCAAUCACCCUCUAAAAAUCAAAUGCAUCUCAACAGCUGACAUAUUUAUUUCUAUGUCAGUGGUACAAUUCUAUCAGAUGUGUGCACUACCAAAAACCUCACUGAGAACAUUGUAAAUAACAACAAUUUUCUUUUGUUAGAAGGAUGAAUACCUUUGAUGUUUGUUUCUUGGCAGAGACCUUCUUCACUUCCACUGGAAUCAGCUGUGGUUUCUGAGGUGUACCGAAAGGGGCUGUGGACAGAGGCGAUGCAAUGUUACCUCUUCCAGAAAAAGGCUGAGUCAUUGGGUGGAUGUCAUUGGGAGCCACUUGAAAGUCAAAUGGCUCUGACACCCUUUGACUGUUCACUCUCAGCCCUGCCUGUAUCAAUUCAAUCAAACAUUUGUGAUCACGGACUUCAAAAGGAAAGCAAAAAGCAUGGGAGGGCAACUGUUCCAUCAGAAUAUAAGAUCAGCUCGUUUUAUGCAAACUGCCCAGAUGAAAAGGCAAAUUUUAAAAUAGCAGGCAAAUUAGAGAGUAAUAUUUGUCAUAUAAAAAUGUUUCACUAUAAGGUCUUUUUAAAUAGCCAUAUUCCCAAGUUCAUUUUGGUAACAAUAUAACUACCUAUGCUGGACUAUUCUGUGUAGUCAGUAAAAAAGACAAUUCUGAAGAAUUUAAAUGGCUUGGGGGAAAUAAUACAAGUGAAAGAACACAGUAAAUAUUACUUUUGAAAUAAUAUUUAUAAUAACAAUAUUAAUGAAAUCUAUAAGCAACAACUUUUAGAGCACACAUGCGGUCCAUAGGUGGGUAGGUCUACCUGCUAGACAGACAGUGCUUGGGAGAGAAACCACAUCUCUCCUGUUGCCUGGCAGCAAAUCCAACUGCCCUUUACAAAUAGCUCACGUCUGACUUGAGGGGAUUCAAGUCAGGGGAGAAAUUCUCAGGGGAGAAAUAUCCUUACCCUACUGUCUCC